AUUAUAAAGAGGUAUGAUUGUUUUCCCAAUGAAAGUAUUGCAUAUAGAGUUAUAUUGACCAUUACCUGUGACAGUUGCAUUGGCAGAAAGAACUUUUUUUCUAAAUUGAAGCUAUUGAAGUCCUAUAUGCGUGCUACCAUGACACAACAAAGACUCAAUGAUUUGGCCACAGUAGCACUUGAGAGUGAAUUGUUGGAGAAGAUUGAUUACGAGGAUAUCAUCGAAGAUUUCAUUUCAAAGAAUACUAAAAGAAUGAGUAUGUUCAAAUAA
rnacentral:rRNA from 1 species